rnacentral:lncRNA from 1 species
GAUGGGUAGGAGACGACAUUGCCCCUUAAUUUAAUAUUGAAUUACGGGUAAGCACGUCCACUUAAUGACUGAUGUGCUUCUUCCAUUUGUAAAGUUCGAAAUGUUGGACAUCUAUAACAUUGCCCUUUGUAGAGAUAGGACUUAGGGGACGACAUUACCCCUUAAUAUAAAAAAUGAAUUACAUGUAAGCUUUUGCUUUAAUUCCUCCUUUUCUCUCUCUGAAUAUCAAUCUCUUCCCUCUCUCUUGAAAACAUCAAACGCUACCCAAUGCUGUCAGAUUUUGUUAUUAGUUUUAUCUUAUAAUAUUCUUGUUAUCAUCCCAACCUUAAAAACUUCAUUCUCUUAUUUAUAUUGAUUCCUCUGUUUAUUUAUUUGUAGGAAUUUUUUUUAACUUGUUACUAUCUUCACAUGGAAUUGGAUGACUCUGUCUUUUUAGAGUUGGGUUUUUAAUGAGAAUUUGAUUGGCUUCAAAGUCUAUGGCUUUUAAUUUCUUGUUGAUGAUCUUUAAAUAUUGGAGAAUCUUAAUUAUAAAAAUCAAGAUCAAAUCAUGCUUGAGCUUCGGAUUUGCACCUAAUUACGUGUGAGAGUGGCGACAGGAAUGUUGUAGCCAUAGUGACUGGAACAGUAGCCAGAGCAGUUUUCGUUGCCCUUCUAGUACUAGGUGCCAUGCAGAGAAAUGGCUGGCUUGGUGGCAGAGUCUAUGCAUAUAAAGGUAUUGGUAUUUCUUCCAAAUUUUUAUUUUAGAUUGUUUUUCUGACAAUUAUUUAAAUUAUUCAAUAUUUGUUAUAAUUUUUUUAUCUACUUGAAGUACAUCUCUAUAGGAAAAUAUAUAGUUAAGUGUCUGCCUUACUUUUGACAAUUUUUUAUGUGAUGUUUGAAGGGUCAAAGAAGAAAGCGGAGAAAAUGGCUAGACAGAAUGAUCCAUUUUGGGAUUUUGUUGGGAAGCUGAAUGAUGGUCGUUUCAACUGUACAUUUUGUGACUAUAAAUAUGCAGCUGCUACUUCCGUUACGAGGAUCAAAUGGCAUUUGUCAGGAGUCCAAGGGCGUGGUGUUACAAUUUGUAGACAAGUGCCUGAAGACGUUCAAGAAGCAGCUUUUCAAGCUGUGCAUGGUGGCAACAAAAGACAUAAAAGCAUAGCAAGUUCGAGCAAUGUAAAUGAUGAUGCCAUUUCAACCACUCCACAAGAACAAAAGAAUAAUGAAGUCGACAAUUUGGCAGGGGAUGCAGGAAGGAUACAAGCACCAGUUACAAUGGUUCAAGCACUUGGAACAUUUUUGGAAGAGAUCACUAAUGUAAUGGAGGAUGAUAUAGAGAAUGGGACUGGAGGAGUAGUGCAGCCUGGUGCAGGAGCUAGCUCUUCUGCAGGGCUUACAGGCAACACAAAUGAGAUUCCAGGAGACGAAGUGCCAACGACAAAGCUGGUGGGUCAAGCAUUCGAAGACCAUAAGAAGACUAUCUGGUCUUGGUUGAUGCACGACGAAGUUUCAACUAUUGGCAUCUAUGGGAUGGGCGGAGUGGGUAAGACAACAUUGGUGAAACAUAUAUAUGAUGAGCUUCAAAAAAGACGACACAGUUUUUGUCAUGUUUACUGGAUUACUGUUUCACAAGAUACCAGCAUUAGUAGAUUGCAAAACAGUAUCGCCAGACGGAUUGGUUUAGAUCUUUCUAAUGAAGGUGAGGAGCUGUAUAGAGCUUCCGCUUUGUCAAAAGAAUUAAUGAAGAAACAGAAAUGGGUUUUGAUUUUAGAUGAUCUGUGGAAGGCUUUUGAGCUGCACAAGGUAGGAGUUCCUAUCCAAGCUGUUAAGGGAUGCAAGCUGAUUCUUACAACACGAUUAGAAAAGGUUUGUCACCAGAUGGAUACCCAACACAAAAUCAAAGUAAGUCCUAUAUUGGAGGAAGAAGCUUGGACUUUGUUUAUUGAGAGACUUGGACAUCAAAUGGCACUUUCUCCAGAAGUGGAACAGAUUGCAAAAUCUAUCACAAAGGAGUGUGAUGGUUUGCCUCUGGGAAUUACAACAAUGGCUGGAACCAUGAAGGGGGUGGAGGACAUACACGAGUGGAGGAAUGCUUUAGAGGACCUGAGACAAUCAAGAGUUAGGAAAGAUGAUAUGGAGCCUGAUGUAUUCCACAUACUGAGAUAUAGCUACAACCAUCUAAGUGAGGCAGCACUGCAGCAAUGUUUCUUGUACUGUGCAUUAUUCCCGGAAGACUUUGAGAUCCCUAGAGAGGAUUUGAUAGCUUAUUUGAUUGGCGAGGGAGUGAUAAAAGGGCUGGAAAGUAGGGAGGCAGAACUUGACAAAGGCCACUCGAUGCUUAAUAAACUUCAAAGUGUCUGCCUUUUGGAAAGUGCUAAGAAAAUGAACCCUGGUCAUGGAUGUGUCAAUAUGCAUGACUUGAUUAGGGACAUGGCCAUCCAAAUACUACAUGAGAACUCUCAAGGCAUGGUUAAAGCAGGUGCACAAUUAAAAGAAUUGCCGGAUGCAGAGGAGUGGACAGAGAAUCUUACUAGAGUUUCACUGAUGUAUAACCAAAUUCAAGUAAUUCCUUCCAGCCAUUCACCAAGGUGUCCCGGUCUUUCAACUUUAUUGUUACGUGCAAAUUCAGAGUUGCAAUUUAUAGCAGAUUCAUUUUUUGAGCAGUUGUGUGGGCUCAAGGUUCUUGAUCUGUCUUAUACAAGUAUCACAAAACUGCCUGAUUCUGUCUCUGAAUUGGUGAGUCUCACUGUAUUGUUGAUCAAACACUGUAGGGAGUUAAGGCAUGUACCGUCAUUGAAAAAGCUGAGGGCACUAAAGAGGUUAGAUCUCCGUGGUACUACACCUGAAAAGAUUCCUCAAGGUAUGGAAUGUCUAUGCAACCUGAGGUAUCUUAGAAUGAAUGGAUGUGGUGAAAAGGAGUUUCCUAGUGGGUUGUUACCUAAGCUCUCUCACCUGCAAGUCUUUGUAUUGGAGGAGUGGAUUCCUCCUAGUACCAAAGAUAUAAAUAGGACAAUAUGCUCCGAUAACAGUUAAAGGAAAGGAAGUGGGAUGCUUGAGGAAGUUGGAAACUUUGGUAUGUCAUUUUGAAGGUUACUCAGACUACGUGGAGUAUCUCAAAUCUCGGGAUGAAACCAAAUCACUAAGCACAUACAAAAUUCUUGUAGGACCACUGGAUAGCAUUUUAUUAUGAUAAUGAUUAUGAUUAUGAUGAUUGCAGAACGAAAGAAAUUGUUUGGGGUAACUUGAGUAUCGACAAAGAUGGAGAUUUUCAGGUCAUGUUCUCGAAGGACAUUCAACAACUACAUUAAUAAUUAUUGAUGAUGCAACAAGUUUAUGUGAUUUUUGGUCUCUAAUAAAGAAUGCAACUAAACUGGAGGUUAUCAAUAUUAAUAGUUGCAAUAGCAUGGAGAGCUUGGUUUCAUCUUCUUGGUUUUGCUCUGCUCCAGUACUUUGCCAUCUUGUAGUGGUAUAUUUUCUAGUCUUAAGAAGUUCUUUUGUUUUAGAUGUACAAGUAUGAAGAAGUUGUUUCCCUCUUGUCUUGCUGCCCAACCUCGUAAACCUAGAAUGGAUUGAAGUUGUAGGAUGUGAGAAGAUGGAGGAGAUAAUAGGUGGAACAAGAUCAGAUGAAGAAGGGGUUAUGGGUGAAGAAAGCAGCAACAGCGAAUUCAAACUCCCCAAGUUACGAUCUCUGCUCUUGGUUGGAUUACCAGAACUCAAAAGCAUUUGUAGUGCAAAACUGAUUUGCGAUUUUCUGCAAAUAUAUUCAUGUAGGAAAUUGUGAGAAGCUGAAGAGGUUGUCAAUUUGUCUUCCGUUGCUUGAAAAUGGCCAGCCAUCUCCUCCCCCUUUUCUUAGACUAAUCCAUGCAAUGCCAGAAGAAUGGUGGGAGUCAGUAGUGGAGUGGGAGCAUCCUAAUGCUAAGGAUGUCCUUCGUCCAUUUGUAAGGCCUCGAGGUGGGAGAUGACUUUGCCCUUUGUAGAGAUUGAUGGGUAGGAGACGACAUUGCCCCUUAAUUUAAUAUUGAAUUACGGGUAAGCACGUCCACUUAAUGACUGAUGUGCUUCUUCCCUUUGUAAAGUUUGAAGUGUUGGACACCUAUAACAUUGCCCUUUGUAGAGAUAGGACUUAGGGGACGACAUUACCCCUUAAUAUAAAAAAUGAAUUACAUGUAAGCUUUUGCUUUAAUUCCUCCUUUUCUCUCUCUCAGUAUCAAUCUCUUCCCUAUUUCUUGAAAACAUCAAAUGCUACCCAACGCUGUCAGAUUUUGUUAUUAGUUUUAUCUUAUAAUAUUCUUGUUAUCAUCCCAACCUUAAAAACUUCAUUCUCUUAUUUAUAUUGAUUCCUCUGUUUAUUUAUUUGUAGGAAUUUUUUUUAACUUGUUACUAUCUUCACA